UACAGAGGGUCCGAGCGUUGUCCGGAAUCACUGGGCGUAAAGGGCGCGUAGGUGGCUUGAUAAGCAGGGGGUGAAAUCUCGCGGCUCAACUGCGAGGCUGCCUCCUAAACUGUCGGGCUUGAGCAGAGUAGAGGCAGGUGGAAUUCCCGGUGUAGCGGUGGAAUGCGUAGAGAUCGGGAAGAACAUCGGUGGCGAAGGCGGCCUGCUGGGCUGUUGCUGACACUGAGGCGCGACAGCGUGGGGAGCAAACAGG
rnacentral:rRNA from 1 species